CAAAACUUUCAACAAUGGAUCUCUUGGUUCCGGCAUCGAUGAAGAACGCAGCGAAAUGCGAUAACUAAUGUGAAUUGCAGAAUUCAGUGAAUCAUCGAGUCUUUGAACGCACAUUGCGCCCCCUGGUAUUCCGGGGGGCAUGCCUGUCCGAGCGUCAU
rnacentral:rRNA from 1 species